CCUACGGGUGACAGCAGUGAGGAAUAUUGGUCAAUGGACGGACGUCUGAACCAGCCAUGCCGCGUGCAGGAAGACGGCUCUAUGAGUUGUAAACUGCUUUUGUACAGGGGUAAACCUGAAUACGUGUAUUCAGCUGAAAGUACUGUACGAAUAAGGAUCGGCUAAAUCCGUGCCAGCAGCCGCGGUAAUACGGAGGAUUCAGGCGUUAUCCGGAUUUAUUGGGUUUAAAGGGUGCGUAGGCGGAUUGAUAAGUUAGAGGUGAAAUGUACGGGCUUAAAUCGGGAUCUGCCUCUAAUACUGUUGUUCUAGAGAGUAGAUGCGGUAGGCGGAAUGUAUGGUGUAGCGGUGAAAUGCUUAGAGAUCAUACAGAACACCGAUUGCGAAGGCAGCUUACCAAUCUAUAUCUGACGUUGAGGCACGAAAGCGUGGGGAGCAAACAGGAUUAGAUACCCCUGUAGUC
rnacentral:rRNA from 1 species